AAACCAGCACCUCAAGUGGUCAGGAUGAUUAUUGGGCCUAAAGCAUCCGUAGCCGGCUCUGUAAGUUUUCGGUUAAAUCUGUACGCUCAACGUACAGGCUGCUGGGCAUACUGCAGAGCUAGGGAGUGGGAGAGGUAGACGGUACUCGGGAGGAAGUGGUAAAAUGCUUUGAUCUCUCGAUGACCACCUGUGGCGAAGGCGGUCUACCAGAACACGUCCGACGGUGAGGGAUGAAAGCUGGGGGAGCAAACCGGAUUAGAAACCCCGGUAGUCC
rnacentral:rRNA from 1 species